UUAAAUACGUUGACAUCUAUUGCAAUGAUAUAUUAUAGUAAUGGAGUAUGGAGUAAUACAAGACUUAGAAUAUUUACAAUUUGUAUCACAUCAUUUUAGUUUACAUACAUGAAAUAAUUAUAUAUUUUUGCAUUAUUAGUGGCAGAGUUUACAUGAACCCAAUUUUAUCUGUUUUUUUUCUGGCGGAUUUUACUGUAAAAAAGGUACUUGUGAGUUGUGACAGAGUUUACAUGCGCCAUGGUACGGAUGGUUAUGGAGUCUUGGUCACGACGUAAACUGUGGGUAUUUUAGCCAAUAGUUAAUAGCUAUUCCUCUGUUAUCGAGAAAUUGAGGUUGCAGUAACCGGGACCCACCUCUUCAACCAUAAAUCCGGUAAAGGAGAUAAUUGAAACAUUGAAUUAAAACACUAACCUCAAAAAUAUAAUACAAAUUACAAUAUAUUCC